AUUGUAGGCUGAAACUCGCCUACAUAAAGCUGGAGUUACUAGUAAUCGCAGAUCAGAAUGCUGCGGUGAAUGCGUUCCCGGGUCUUGUACACACCGCCCGUCACACCACGGAAGUUGGGGGCGCCCGAAGCCACUUAUCUAACCCUUUUGGGAAGCGAGUGUCGAAGGUGAAAUCAAUAACUGGGGUGAAGUCGUAACAAGGUAAC
rnacentral:rRNA from 1 species